AAAAAAUAAUAAUUGUGGCGAUAAAAAUUCGUCAUUUGCGAAAAAAUUUGGCGAAAGAAAUAUAUAUAACGAUUUAUUUUCCUCCAUCUUGUUUAUUUACUUUUUCAAGUUUCUCGGACUUUACCUGAUCAGACAAUACUCGGAAUUCACCUUGACCUCAUUAAGAUUUAGACAGAAAAUCAAUAAUCAGCUGAUUGCAUUUUAUAGCUAUCCACAACAAAGGACUAAUUAAUAAAGGUGUUGAUUGAAUUGUUUCACAAAAUGAUAUGGUCAAAUGGCUUCCGCUAAAUGUCACAUACAGAAUUUAUUUACAUCUUUGCGACGCACGUGUUUAAAACCUUAAGUAUCCUUUGACUUUAAAAAAGUCGUUUGAGUGACACACGUGUUUCAAGCAUAGUUGUAUGUCUCAACUUUUUCAUUUACGAUGGUCAAGAAAAGAAAACUGUCGUUAUGAAAAUAUCUAUCCAAAAGGUUGGGAAAAACCCCUUCGAAUGAGAGUAACCCUUCAAUGUAAUGACUACACAUGAAAUGAGGGAUCAAUUUC
rnacentral:lncRNA from 1 species